rnacentral:tRNA from 1 species
GUGGGGUUGUAGUUCAGUGGUGGAGCACUUGCCUCGCAUGCAUGAGGCCCUGGGUUCAAUCCUUAGCACCACA